rnacentral:tRNA from 2 species
GUCCGGGUGGCGGAAUGGCAGACGCGCUAGCUUGAGGUGCUAGUGCCCUUCAACGGGCGUGGGGGUUCAAGUCCCCCUCCGGACA